UGAUAAAUCAAAGUGCUCACU
rnacentral:miRNA from 1 species